UAUAUAUAUAUAAAAGUAAUCGUGUAUCAAACAAAAUGAGAAUAUACAGAUAUACGUACAGAGUGUAUACGGAUAGAGAAACGUGUAAUUACCAUGUCCCAUAAAACGUAUAGGGAAGGCUAAUUUUUAAUUAACCACGUCACUGACCUCGGAAAUAUCUAAUCUUUCCCAUAAAAACGAUUGUGUAAUCGAUGAAAAUAUGGUUUGUUUUUUCUUUCUUUUUUUUUUUCUCUCCGCUAGAAAUUUUGAUAAUAUUUCAUUUAAUUCAAUAAUGACUAUUAUACCGAUAAGAAUCAGAUAUACAUAAAAUGAGACACAAAAGAUUAGAGAUAGGACUGAAUUAUCAAGACGUGUAGAAUACUACGAUAUUUAUUUUAUAUGUAUAUAAUAUAUAUGUAUACAUUGUCACCCUGGUUUUCCCCUAAUGAUUAUCUGGAUAAAUUACAACGUAUUUUCUAAUUUCGUAAUUAGAAACAUCGUUGGAAAGGCCCGAUUAAAUAUGAUUGAUCAAUAUUAUUUCAUUCCUUGUGAAUAUAAUUUGUUGUCUCCGCAUAAUCGCAAAUUUUUUUUACACGAUGGAUUUCCUCCUGUUGGGAAAUGCGAAAAAUCCACGUAAUUAUACGUGUACAAUUUGCAUAAAAAUGAUAUUUACGCGGUGUAACACCAAAGUAUUAGAAAUUCGUCGAGACGCGGUACAACAAUUGUCCAAAAAAUUUUAUUAUCAAUCUUUCAAACGCGUUAUUUUGAAUAAUUAUCUCUCUCACUGUAAAUUUAUUUCCAUCUCGCGAUAACUUGGCGAGAUUUUAUUGCAAAAGAGAGAUUGGAUCGGGUUAAAGAGAUUUUUUAUACGAAAAAUUUUAAUAAAAAAGUUGCGGGAAAAAAGUUUGGCAAUCUGACAAGUGCAAUUUCACGAGCAAGAUGACGGUUCCUUCCUCGAAAGAACUUACGACGAUUGAACAAUAUGUCCUUCGAAAUAUUUCUAGGUUAUCAGAUUUUUCAAGGAGAGAGAGAGAGAGAGAGAGAAAAAAAAUUGAAUAGGCGAAUUUUUUCCUUAUAAUAAUUUUGAACAGGAUUACGUGACGUUUUCAACAGUGUGACUUAUUCCUUCUUUGAUAAUAAUCGCGAGGAUGCAUGCUGCGAUCGCGUGUCUACGUAUCACGCCGCCAUCUGACGAAUUGAAAAGGCUUGAAAAGCCGACAAUGCUUGGGAUAAGCUGUGGCCAUUAGCAUUGCCACUAGCAUACUCAACGAUCGGCAUUGCGACGAGGAACGAUUCACUGUCAAACGGGACCUUGACACUAUCCUAUUCACCAAUCUGUUGCUCGUUACAGUAACGUUCUCUCCUACUUCGAGCGUGAUUACGUUUGCGUUUUGAAGCGCAAAAAGUCGAGUCGAUUCAUUCGAGCGCAAGGGUACUAGGGAAUAUGAAGCUAGGGACCCCAAAAUCUUGUAACUAGGGCCAUGCAUUUAAGGGAAAUUUACAAUAAUAUUCGAAGCGAAAUAUUUCUCGUAAUAAUUUAUGAAAUAAUUAUUGAGAAUAAAUAUUUUAUAAAUAAUUCUAAAAAUUGUAUAUACUUUCGUAUUAUAUUAAUUUUCGUAUUAUUAAAAUCUUGCUGUAAUUCUAACCAUGUUUACAACUGUAACUAACCUUAUUUUUUUUUCCUUUUUUAAGAAAAAAGCGUCGACGAAAUAUCAUAGUUUAUCGAAAGAAAUAUAUAUAUCUCGAAACUCGGAACUCUACGGUCAAAGAAAAGUCGAUAAUUGAUAAUAUACUUUGAUAUCCUCUUUUCCAGUUACGAACUAUAGAAACUUGUACAAUGCUAGAUUCGUACAUAUGUCCAAGCGAAAUAUUAUUAUCAUUUUCAGAAAGGUUGAAAAUUUAUUGACAAGAAUAAACGAAGUGGAAUGAUGUGUUACGUCACAAUGGCGAACUGUAACAUAUUACAAUAUGUCACUGUACAUCCGGUAACGUUGCAACUUAAGUGGGCGUAUUCGUAAAUGAGAGUGUAUCUAAACGAAUGUUUAUGUACAAUUAUAAUUUUAAAUAAGAAAUAUCAUGUAUUUGUUGACUUUAUCGCAGAUUCACAUUAUACGUGUUCAUUUGUUUCAUCUUUAAUAAUCAGAUUACUCAGUGACGUCAAUUCAAACAUAACUGAGUCACCAAAGUGUAAAUUUCUUCUUAUUACGAAGCAAUAUUCCAAAAAUUUAAUUUCAUCAUGUACCAAUAUGUACUUACCGUAAUGAUAAUAAUUAAAAUAAUAAUUAAAAUAAAUUUUCUAUUACACGUAUUUUCGAUAACGCCUAUGGUUUCAUUAUAGGUUAUAUUUUUCUAUCAAACCAUGAAGUAUCAAAAAUAUUAAAAAAAAAUUAGGAAAUGAUGAUGAAGUAAUAAUAAUAUCGACGACCUCCACAAUCUUUCGACUUUAUUUCAAGUUAACAAACGACGAAAUGGUAUAAUUUAAUAUUAUCACACGCAAAAAAAAAAAAAAAAAAAAAAAAAAAAAA